rnacentral:rRNA from 1 species
UCGGGAAUUUUGGGCAAUGGGCGAAAGCCUGACCCAGCAACGCCGCGUGAAGGAUGAAGUAUUUCGGUAUGUAAACUUCGUAAGAAUAGGAAGAAUAAAUGACGGUACUAUUUGUAAGGUCCGGCUAACUACGUGCCAGCAGCCGCGGUAAUACGUAGGGACCAAGCGUUGUUCGGAUUUACUGGGCGUAAAGGGCGCGUAGGCGGUGUGUCAAGUCAGUUGUGAAAUCUCCGAGCUUAACUCGGAACGGUCAACUGAUACUGUCACACUAGAGUACAGAAGGGGCAAUCGGAAUUCUUGGUGUAGCGGUGAAAUGCGUAGAUAUCAAGAGGAACACCUGAGGCGAAGGCGGGUUGCUGGGCUGACACUGACGCUGAGGCGCGAAAGCCAGGGGAGCAAACGGGAUUAGAUACCCUUGUAGUCCCUGAGCGGGCUGGCAAGGCGCAU